rnacentral:lncRNA from 1 species
AAUAGAAGGAUAUCCUCUUGUUAUCAUCGUUUCACUCGCAUAUGGGAAUAAGAAAGCACUGUCUGGAAAUGCCCUUGUUAAGGAAUUAUCAGCUUGUGCAAUCUUGGGAUCAGCAACAGCCAUCUGCACUGACAAAAUUGGGGGGCUAACAACGAGCACAGUACAAGUGAAAACCUGCAGGAUUGGUGGAGAAGAUAUCAAUGGCGACUCUGUCAUACAUCCAGAUGUAAUUGAUGCUCUGUGUUAUGGUAUCUACGCACUAGUUCUGGACCAAGAGAAUCCUUGUGGCUUAGAAGAGGAAGAGGUUGUUUCCUGGGCUAAAUCCAGGUUAGGCAUGAAGCAAGAUAUUUUAAAGCAGAGUUGCACCUUUGUUGGGGCUGAAGAAUUGAACUCCAAUGAGGGAGGAAGUCAAGUGUUGCUGAGGAAGACCCGGGGCAAUGAAACAGUUGAGUGCUUGCACUGGAAAGGCCCUGCAACAACUAUACUGACCCAGUGUUCAUCCUACUAUGACAGUGAAGGGAAAAAAAAGGACAUGGGAGAGAAGAGGAUGGAUUUUGAAAAAUUUAUCCAGCAGAUGCAGUCCAAAAAACUCAAAACCAUGGCAUUUGCCUACAAGGAAAUUAAUGACUCAAGUGAAGAAAACAGCUUAAUCUUGAUAGGACUAUUGAGUCUGAGGGACACAGAUUGGACAGAGACAAAAGAAGCUGUGCAAGCUUGUAGAAAUGCUGGGGUUAAUAUCAAGAUGGUCUCAAGUGACAACAUUUCAGAGCUGCGAGACAUGGCUGUUCAGUGUGGUAUGUCUGACCCCAAUUCUCUGGUUCUUGAUGGUAAUGCAUUUCGGAAUUACACCGAGGAAGAGAGGAUGGAUAGGGUAGAUCGAAUCUCCAUCAUGGGAAACGCCCUUCCCUCUGACAAGCUUCUUUUAGUGGAGUGUUUGAAGCAAAAGGGUCACACGGUAGCUGUCAUUGGAGCCAGGACAGAUGAGACUCCAGCCAUAAGACAAGCUGAUGUAGGGGUGACAAUGGGGACGUGGAGCACCAAAAUGGCCAAAGAGACUUCUGAUAUCGUCAUCUUUGACGGCAAUUUUAGUUCCCUUGUGACCAUCAUGAGGCACGGAAGGUGUGCAUAUGAAAACGUCCAAAAGUACAUGCAGCAUGAGCUCACCAUGGUCAUCGCAGGGUUGCUGGUAACCUUCAUCACCAUGGGGCAUUCGGGGGAUGCCCCAAUAACUGCAAUUCAACUCGCCUUCGGGAGUGUGAUUGUGGGCAUCCCGGGGGGAUUGGCUCUGUUGACAGAGCCACCAGCGGAGAAACUAAUAGGCAAGCAACCAGUAGGACAAGGUGGAACACUGAUAACCUGGGCCAUGUGGAGAAACAUAAUCACUCAAGCCUCAUACCAGGUUGCCAUUUUAGUGACAAUCCAAUUCAAGGGGAAGGUCAUCCUAGGCAUCAGCCCCAAGGUCAAUAAGUCCUUGGUGUUCAACAGUUUUGUUCUCUGCCAGGUUUUCAAUCUAUUCAAUUGCAGAAAGAUGGAGAAGAAGAACAUGUUCCAGGGCAUCAAGAAGAACCUCUGGUUUUGGGUGGCUGUGGCAGCUAUUAUGGGGUUGCAGGCAGCCUUCAUUGAGAUAGAGCAUUGGGUUGGGGGCAGUGCGAGGCUGAACUGUGCACAAUGGGGCACAUGCCUUCUCAUUGGAAUGGUUUCAUGGGUCAUAGAUUAUAUCGGGAAAUUCGCUUCUGAUCUCAUCACACAUUGUAUUGGAUCCAUUUCACGCUACACAUGGGUGUGAGAGAAAGUUUUCACAGGUAUUCCCCAAUCUAAAUUCUAUCAAUAAAAACAAUUUUGCAGAACCAAGCCUAGAAACAAUUCACAGUACUACAAAAAAAAUGAAAAUGAAAAUAAAAUGAUCCUACUAACCUGAUCAUGAUCGUUUUGCAGAGCCUCCCGAGACAUAACCAAGAACGAUUGUUGAAGAAAAAGAAGGUCAAUUGCAGAUGUACAGAGGAAGUCAAGCUUUUCGACUCGUUUAUAUUCGAAUCAUACAGCUCAUGCCAACCGAGACGCCGUGUCCUUGGGAACCGCGUCAUAAGUCUUAGUCAGUGGAACCUACGUCGAACGCGUCUCGCCUUCCCCCAAAAGAAACGCUUCUCUUGACGUUGAAACUUGGAACCACAUUUUCUUGAAAUAAUCUUAGAAUAGUUUAUUUGAACCGCGUUGGAACAGUCUUCAUCAAAUCAUCUACAAUUAUUAUUAUUAUUAUAUUUUUCUAAUUUUCUUUGACCCCCAGCAUUUUGCAUUUAAUAUACACUUACCACUUUCUAAUAUACAAAAUUAUCUUCAAGCAUCAAUUAAUAAUAGUUUAAUAUAUAUAUAU